rnacentral:lncRNA from 1 species
UUUUAUUUUUGUUUCAAUUUUGGGCACCUAUAGUAUUUAAUGACUACAUAUGCAAGUACACAUAGGUGUAUAGGUAUCUCAGUUUUAAAAGGCAUAUUUUACCUCUUUUUCAUACAAUCAACACUGGUGUUUUGAAGUCUUGCUUCUCCUGCCCCAUGUUACAUUCUCCAUUACAAUCUGUCAUUCAGCUGUGCAGGCUUCAAACACCGAUCUAUGUAGUACAGCACUAAGGGAUUUCCUGAGUCAGGUUUAUUCAUCGUUAUCUGUAAAAAGCAGGAGCAGGGGAGAGACAGGGUGAAAAGGAGCAACACACACACACACACACACACACGAUCAAGCUGGGGUUACAAAACAAAUUAGAAACCACAAUUUAGUAAGCAGUAAUACCAGAAUUCACCAACUCAGUCACCAAGGAGAUAACUGUUACCAAAACUGCCUUGAAAGCACUCUAUGUACAAACAUUGAACAACAUGUCAUCCUAGUGAAUUUAAGGUAAUUUCACAUCAAGCAGCCUGCCUCAGAACAAUCCUCUUAGUAAAAAGAGCAGCACAGAUUCUUUUCCCCUAGCUUUUCUUAUUUGAAGAGCAUAAAACUUCUGAGACAGCAGCUCAUGAACAUGCUUCUGACUCACUUGUCCUCUAUUCACCUUUAUUAGCACAGCAUUUUUUUCUUUAAAUGUCUGAAAUUUAAAGAACUACUUUAAAUGUAAUUCUUUAUGUACUUCAGUACUGAAGUACUACAUGUACUUUCAAUGUCUGAACCAUAAAGAACUACUUUCACAUACAUUUUUGUAUGCUAUCACCAAUUUGUAAAACACAGAGUUGGAACUGAAGCUAUUAAAAAUAGCCACCUGUUAAUCAGCAUUUUGCAAGAUGAAAGUCAGCUCAUUUUAAUAGGGUUCACUCAGACAGCUUGCAAUUGGUAUGCCAGCAUUUCAGCAAAUUGGCAUUUAAGCCUUUUAGUACUAGUUUUAAAAUACCCUUAAGGCGAAGUGGCAAAGAAAAGAAACUGGUAACACUAGAGUUACCACUUUCUUCUUGUUCUAUAUUGCCAGUCCUUUGGACACUUGAAAAAUGAACUACUGUAAUAUAUUGUUCCAAGUCUGUCAUUAAAUCAAUAAAUUGUUGUUGAAAAAAUGUUUUUCAGACACUUUUGUGUCAUACUUCUAUAACACAGCAUGAAAACAACAUGGCAAUUGCUCAUUCUUACUGAGUGGUUCUGUAUCAGUUGCAAAAUAAAAUUGGGAAAAAUGUAAUUUUAUUAGCAAUUUUUUAAAAACUAUCUUUAUAAAACUAGUUUUUAAGACCUUUUUCCUCCCAAGCAUUUAUAUAUAAAACCCAGAGAAAGCUGUCCUC